UGUGCACCCCCUUCCCUUUCCUCUCUUCCUAUCCCUCUCUUCUUUCUCUCCCCUCAUUCUCUUCCCCCCUCAAAUAAAACUCUUCACUGAGCGCUGUCUACAUAGCAUCUCUGUCUCUCACCUGCUGUGAGGCACCUUGGCCCAACCAGCCAGGGCCUCCCACUGAUAUAUCAUAACAUUGGUGCCCAAUGUGGGGCAGGCUAUCCCACUGCUUUCUCCUGCCUGUGGGCAGUCUGAUGAGCUCUGGGACCCUGUACCAUGCACCAUUUUUCUGACUGGAGCACCGCUGGGAAUCCUCACCCUAUCGUAUAGACAGAAACUCCCAGAUCCUAACAGUGAUCCAGGCUCCAAAGAAAAUGUCUCCAUCUGGACAAUGGCAUCACUGAUCUCUGUUCACGAUGUCUCAUUUUGUGACACCUGCCACCAGGACCUGGCCCAGAGUGUGAACAAACAGCAAGACAUUGGGGAAUUGAUUGCACCCCUAUUGCCUAGAAAAACUCUCCAUUAUUCAGUAAGCAUUUAUUUCUACCAGACACUGUAAGAUAUUGUAGACUCAUAUUGUACAUUUUCUGCCCAGUCCCAAACUCAGCCUCUUUAAGAGCACCCUAGUUUCAAGUGGAAAAAGCAUAUAUUUUAAAAGGCCUGAGUGAAACGAAUGAUAGACGGCUCUGAUGGCAGCGCUGGUUACUGGCAGAAAGGUCAUGAGGCACGGCCAAGACAGCCUAGCAACGGAGAGCUUUAGGAGGAGGAGGAGGAGGAGGAGGAGAACCAGGCCUAGGAAAGGAGCACGUGUGAUAUUGGAUAUAUGCUCAGCCAUAAUGAUCGACUAGAACUGACAUGUCCACGACUGUAAGUGAAGGGAAAAGAAUCCAAGAAAAGAGGAAGUCUGAGGCUCAGUUAUCGAUGAUUUGUUUCACGCAAGCCGAUCCUCCUCCAAGAGCAGCAAGUGCUCGGAACAGUUGCAAGUCUCUCCAGCCUCUCAUCAGACUGUUUUUUGUAAACUUCAGUCUUGUUGCUAAGCAUAUCAUUUAUAACCACGAAGAAGUGAUUAUUAUUAAAUGUGAUUAUUGAAAAGAAAUGACACUGCUUCUCCAUGAGCAUGUGGUGGACAAAGAGUGAUGGAUUGCUAAACAGUCGUAACUGGACCCAAUGUGGUUGUAUAUUCAGAGCUACAGUCUUACAAGAAAUUAUGUGAUAUAGCAGCACCUUCGGAAACAGAAUAUGUACUUCAGCCAAAGCUCUGCCACACGAAGCAUCCUCUGCCAGGUUUGGCGGCACCAUGUUCCAAGAUAGUCUGUCUCAAAAUAAAAACAAAACAAAAAAGUCAAAGACCUCAAUCUGGCCAGAGAAUCAAUUGAACCUCUCCCUGGCUCCCCUUCUCUAAGCUUUUCUGCCUUACAGAGGCCCUUCCAUGGGUUUGUUGACUAAAGGUGGGAGAGCAAAUCCUACUGCUUGGCUCCUGAAAUAGAAAAAUAAGGCAGACACACUUCUUGAACAAGAUCCCACCAGAGAGGGCAUUUUUAUUUGUUGGAACCCACUGUGUUCCUUCAAAGCCUUUUGCACCUUCAGUCUCCCCACAUAGAGAGACUCAGGCAGAAAAACCUUGGGGCUGUCACUGAAAAAAAUCCAUUUCUUUCCAGUGAAUUCUGCAAGAAGCAUGGUCCUUAGACGCUGAUGAUCAAUUGAACUCUGAUUACUCCAUGUGUUUAAGGUUGCAUGGGUACAAAUAAAGUUUUAUAUGUAAUUCUCAUACCCCUCUUGUCGGGUAGAAAUAUUCUUGGUGUCUGACCAGCAUCAAAAAGAGAGACCUUUGGGGACCUUGUCAAGAUUAGGUACAAACCAUCAGCUUCCCUAUGUCUAAUAGUGCUAGCAAGCUGGUACAACCCUCAUGAAAUGGCCUGGGCUCAAAUGAUUUUACAAAGCAACAUUUUGACUUACAUGCUUCAUGUCUUGACCAGGCACCGAAGAUUUCUGGUAGAUGUUUUUAUUCAGUCGAGUAAUUCAGUGCUUGCUGGAAUGAGGCCUUGAAGAGUUUGAAUUAUUUGAAGGGGAUGGACUUGCAUAGCAUUUAGACCUUAGACCUGAGAAGACUCUGGAGGGGUAGCAGCUACAUUUGCAGCUCUUCACAGAGUGAGUGGUCCCUCAAGCAGUGUGCUUCGAUGUGCUGUGGAUGUCAUAUCCAUCAUGCAGCAACCACUGCAUAUGUGCACAGAGAAUAUAUCAGGAGCAUCCUGGGAUUUGAAGGACACUGUUGUAAAUGUCAUUUAAAUGCAAAUUAGAUACACCAGCUGUUGUUGUUCUUAGUACUGGCAACCUGAAAGAGACAUUUUAUCCUAGCAACCAGAGGAAAGAUGGAUAACAAACUUCUUGUUCAUAAGAAAAACUAAUGGUCAGAAAGCUUAGGAGCAAUAUGUCACCCAAAUUGAUCUGUUGUGUGCUCAAAAAUACCCAGUGUAGAAAGGACACAGUCGAGAUUUUCCAAAGAUUUUUAACAACGUGACUGCCAUCAUCAAAAUGAGAGAUGUCAUGGUAGACUAUAUUCUAGGUUAUGACUCUGUUCCCUAAGUUUACAAAAACUGUGUAAAUAGAGUCAGCAACUGAAUUCUCCAAAGCAAACUCAUCAGUGGUGAUUAAGUCAAAUAUCUGUGCUUUUUCUGUCAUGAAAAUAAAUAUUUUUCAAUCAUUAUAUUAACCUUUCUCUUCAUACGGCAGAUAUUUCUUUUAUGGUCUAUGCUCCUCUCAGAAAGUUAUCUGAAUAUUUUGAAACUCUGCACUCUCAGACAAAUCUUGUGACAUGCAGGUGUCUUUUUUUUUAACUGUGAGGCCUUUGCCUUCCUGUUUGUUGUUUUGUUCCGUUGUUGUUGUUACAUGUUCUCAUUAAAAGGAUACUGAAUUUAA